rnacentral:sRNA from 1 species
AUGUACCACUCGUACACUCCGGUCCCGGCGCGCCGCCCGCGCCCACCUGACAGCUGCUCGCUACGUCUUGUUAGCC